rnacentral:rRNA from 1 species
UGGCGCAAGCCCGAGUUGUAAUUUGUAGAGGAUGUUUCUGGGCAGCGGCCGGUCUAAGUUCCUUGGAACAGGACGUCAUAGAGGGUGAGAAUCCCGUAUGUGACCGGUUGGCACCCUCCACGAAGCUCCUUCGACGAGUCGAGUUGUUUGGGAAUGCAGCUCUAAAUGGGAGGUAAAUUUCUUCUAAAGCUAAAUACCGGCCAGAGACCGAUAGCGCACAAGUAGAGUGAUCGAAAGAUGAAAAGUACUUUGGAAAGAGAGUUAAAAAGCACGUGAAAUUGUUGAAAGGGAAGCGCUUGCGACCAGACUUGUCCGGAGUGUUCCGCCGGUCUUCUGACCGGUCUACUCGCUCCGGACAGGCCAGCAUCAUCUGAGGCCGCCGGAUAAAGGUGCGAGGAAUGUAGCUCCCCCUCGGGGGAGUGUUAUAGCCUCGCGCGCAAUACGGUGCGCCUCGGGUGAGGUUCGCGCUUCGGCUCGGAUGCUGGCGUAAUGGGUGCAAGCGGCCCGUCUUGAAACACGGACCAAGGAGUCGACCAUCUGUGCGAGUGUUCGGGUAUUAAACCCCUACGCGGAAUGAAAGUGAACGGAGGUGGGAACCUUUUAGGUGCACCAUCGACCGAUCCUGAUGUCUUCGGAUGGAUUUGAGUAAGAGCAUAGCUGGUCGGACCCGAAAGAUGGUGAACUAUGCCUGAAUAGGGUGAAGCCAGAGGAAACUCUGGUGGAGGCUCGCAGCGGUUCUGACGUGCAAAUCGAUCGUCAAAUUUGGGUAUAGGGGCGAAAGACUAAUCGAACCAUUGACUACUAGGUGGUUGAUAUAUUACAGGAUACAGGUGGUCGAGCAUCACCAACACCGUCAAAGUGCGGGGAGUCACCGAGGUUUGGGGGACCGCCGGCGCCCAGAAACGGGCGGCCGGCGAGGCGAUUCAACCGAUUGCCGGACGGUCCCAUCGAAAUGGAGCGACCCGCAGCCAAGUCCGCAGGCACCCCCGGGGGUGACCCGGACGCAGUCCACAGACUCGACGUCGGUGGGCCGCCGAUCGACUCGGCG